AGAACGAACGCUGGCGGCAGGCUUAACACAUGCAAGUCGAACGCGUGUAGCAAUACACGAGUGGCGCACGGGUGAGUAACGCGUGGAUAUCUGCCUUUUGGUUCGGAAUAACCCCGGGAAACUGGGGCUAAUACCGGAUGGUUCCUACGGGAUAAAGAUUUAUCGCCAAAAGAUGAGUCCGCGUCCGAUUAGCUAGUUGGUGGGGUAAUGGCCUACCAAGGCGACGAUCGGUAGCUGGUCUGAGAGGACGAUCAGCCACACUGGGACUGAGACACGGCCCAGACUCCUACGGGAGGCAGCAGUGGGGAAUAUUGGACAAUGGGGCAACCCUGAUCCAGCCAUGCCGCGUGAGUGAUGAAGGCCUUCGGGUUGUAAAGCUCUUUUGGCGGGGACGAUGAUGACGGUACCCGCAGAAUAGCCCCGGCUAACUUCGUGCCAGCAGCCGC
rnacentral:rRNA from 1 species